CAGUCGCCGCGGGAAUACGUAGGUGGCAAGCGUUGUCCGGAAUUAUUGGGCGUAAAGGGCUCGCAGGCGGUUUCUUAAGUCUGAUGUGAAAGCCCCCGGCUCAACCGGGGAGGGUCAUUGGAAACUGGGAAACUUGAGUGCAGAAGAGGAGAGUGGAAUUCCACGUGUAGCGGUGAAAUGCGUAGAGAUGUGGAGGAACACCAGUGGCGAAGGCGACUCUCUGGUCUGUAACUGACGCUGAGGAGCGAAAGCGUGGGGAGCGAACGGGAUUAGAUACCCCAGUAGUCCCUGUCUCUUAUAC
rnacentral:rRNA from 1 species